rnacentral:rRNA from 1 species
AUUGACCGCUGGCGGCAUGCUUUACACAUGCAAGUCGGACGGCAGCACAAGAAGAAGCUUGCUCCUGGUGGCGAGUGGCGAACGGGUGAGUAACAUAUCGGAACGUACCGAGCAGUGGGGGAUAACUAAUCGAAAGAUUAGCUAAUACCGCAUAUCUUCUGAGGAAGAAAGCAGGGGACCAUUUGGCCUUGCGCUGUUUGAGCGGCCGAUAUCUGAUUAGCUAGUUGGUGGGGUAAAGGCCUACCAAGGCGACGAUCAGUAGCGGGUCUGAGAGGAUGAUCCGCCACACUGGGACUGAGACACGGCCCAGACUCCUACGGGAGGCAGCAGUGGGGAAUUUUGGACAAUGGGCGCAAGCCUGAUCCAGCCAUGCCGCGUGUCUGAAGAAGGCCUUCGGGUUGUAAAGGACUUUUGUCAGGGAAGAAAAGGGCGGGGUUAAUACCCCUGUCUGAUGACGGUACCUGAAGAAUAAGCACCGG